GCUCGCCGGCGCGGCGGCAAAGACUCUAUUUUUGCUGGAUUUAAAACAUUGUUUUUAUGGGUAAAAUGUAACUGAAAAUAUGACCAUCAUAACAUACUUAAACCAAAAAACAAGUAUUCAAACCACAGGUCUUAUGUCAAUUCACAUCUGUCUUUUUUAUUAUUUUUUAUCUUUUUACAGACAGGAUCUCGCUGCGUUGCUCAGACUGGUCUCGAACUCCUGGGCUUAAGGGAUUCUCCUGCCUCAAUCACAGCCUCCCAAGUAGCUGAGAUUAAAAGUGCUCACCACCGUGCCAGCGAGUUCAGUUUUUGAGAUCUGUCCCAUUCCACCAAGGAUUUAAGGCUAAAGAUUUAAGUUGUGAAGAUGAUAAUGGAUUGACUCUAUGAAUGGCCACAUUUUUUUAUGCCUCCCUUUUCCCUUGUCCUCGGGCAGUGUCCUCCGACACUGACUCUGUGCUUGGCCCUGUGACUUGCUUUGGCCAAUGGUACAGCAGCAAACUUGAUGCAAACACAACUUGAAAAAGAAGAGGACAGCCAAGUCAUCCCAGCCAAGGCCACCCUGGACCAGCCAGCCUCUUGCCAAGCUGCCAGUGACCACAGAGUCCAAUUAACAACAGCCAGUCCUGGCCCAGGGUGGAGCCAAGACUCUGAGGAGAGGGCUGAACUGUGAACCUAGAAGUACCAUCUCCCCCUGCACACACCUUUGGUCAAGUUGACCCCAAGAAGAAGGACAAGUCCUCUGCACGGCGAUGAGGCCAUACACACAGUCUGUGGCCCGGCUUUGGGAGACUGAUGGGACAAAGGAUGUUUUGCACGAUCCUUGGUCUCUGAGCAAAUAUAUACAUGGGUUAACACAAAGGCUCUCUUUUUGAAAAAUGUGACUGUGAAAGUGUGCCCUCCCAGAUAUUCCAGGCAUAACACAGGAGUGACUGCAUGUUUGGGGACAGUGCGGAGGCCACUCUGAUUAGAUCAGAGGAUGUGGACUGGUUCAUGAUGUAAAAGCUGAAGGGAGGCCGGGCACAGUGGCUCACGCCUGUAAUCCUAGCACUUUGGGAGGCCAAGGUGGGUGGAUCACGAGGUCAGGAGAUCGAGACCAUCCUGGCUAACAAGGUGAAACCCCG
rnacentral:lncRNA from 1 species